rnacentral:lncRNA from 1 species
CAAGCCUGUUGUUACUCUUGUUUAUCCUCUGUAAGUCACAUCUCUAACUUAUUUUCCCGAGAUUAUAUUUUUAAAAGAGAUCAAAUCUUUGCUGCAUUUGUCUUCAGUAUGUCUAGCGUUGAAUGGUAGGAAACACGGAAAUGGAUUUAUAUAGCUGACCCCAAAUUUAUUGAGAGCCAAUCAAAAUAUAAACCUGAAAGAUACAUUUAUUAGUUGGUCUAUAUUUGAUUUACGAGUGUGGAAAAAUAGAUCGGAUAAUUUCUGUUUUUGGGUUAUUUACAGAUAUUGUUCCGUCAAGGCUAUAGAAACGCAAUCUCGAGCUGAUGAUCAGCAGUGAUUAACAUAUUGGGUUCUUUAUUCAUUGAUCACCCUCUUCGAGCUUACAUUUUCCAGAGUUCUUGAAUUGUAAGCUCUUUUCAUAGAUCUAACAACGCAAGCCAAAAAUAAUAAAUAAAUAAAUUUGCUUAGUCGGCAUAACUUCUAGAACUUGUGUAAUUGUUGAAUCAGGUUUCCCAUUUGGUCUUAUGCUAAGCUUAUUGGUGUGUGCUGGUUGGUGCUGCCAUGUCUCAAUGGAGCAGCAUAUGUUUAUGAGCACUUGAUAAGGCCUUUUUGCAGAAACCCGCAGGUUAAAAUGUGGCACGUCCCUCCAAAAAAGGAUGACAAGAGAAUGGACCUGAGGCAAUUGAAAGGCUUAUAGCCAGGGUAAUUGGGUAAGCCAUAACCCUCUUACUUUAUCCGAAGUUGGAUCAACUGUGAAAAAUGCGGGGAGUAACCCUCUAAAUUUUUUGCAUUCUGAUAGAGAAGCAUGAGCCAGGAGGGGUAAAUAUACAGUUUUUCAAGAUGAUAAUGGAUAUUAUCGAUCUGCUGCUAUUGAUAAAAAUAUUGUAAAUUUGCUGCAAGGUUGCAUUUCUAAGAAUUCUAGGAACCUUAACAUGCUAGUAUUGGUUAUGUAUCUUGUCUUCUAAUGUUUGAACCUAAAUUUACAACUUAGGUUUCCUAUCUAUGAUUCUUGAUGUGCUCAUGAGCAUUUGCUCAUAUUUG